GUUUAAGAAUUACUGCUCUAAGAGGUCAUCAGUAAAUUUUAAAACAGUGCCCAAUUACUCUUUCUCUGUGCUCAGUUGCUGAUGCUAUCUGCCAAGCUAUAGUCAAAGUCUGUAAAUAAAUAAACCAAUAAAGCCCUUGGGGGAAAAGUUAUUAAUCUACAACACAGUGAUCUUGUAACUUUUGAAAAUACAGGAGUCUCCCCUUAUCCUUGGUUUCACUUCCUGUGGUUUCAGUUACCCUUGGUCAACCAUGGUCUGUAAAUAGGAAAACACUUAAUUGAGGAAAAAUGCACUACAGUAGUAUACCCUUAUCUUCAUGGAAUACUUUUCAAGACCACCAAUGGAUGCCUUAGACUGAGCAUGAAGAAUUUUGAAGUUGAAACUUCACCAGAGUUGUGCCUUAGGUGGAGAAAUGGAAAACUAUAGAAGCAAAACCCAGAAAGUUA
rnacentral:lncRNA from 1 species